CUUGAAUCACAGGACUGAAUAAGGAAGAGCUGCCCUCAGCGUGGCCGGGCAACAUCUAAUCGGCUGAAAGCUUGGAUCGAAUGAAAAGGCAGAGGAAAGGUGAAUUUUCUUUUUAUCCUGGAGCUGGACACCCUGUUUCUCCUGCCUGUGGACAUCAGAAUUCUAGGCUCUGUGGCAUUUCAACUGUAAAACUUGCACUAGUAGCCAGCUGGUUUCUCAAGUCGUUGGCUUCAAAACUGAGAAGUACAGCAUUCUCUUCCCAGGUUCUGAAGACCUCAAAUGGACUGAGCCACACUACCAGCAUCCAGCAUCCAUGGUUCUCCAGUCUGCAGAUGGCCUAUUAUGGGACUUUUCAGUCUUCAUAAUUAUAUGAGAGAAAGAAAAUGAAAAGGAUUUGUAAACUAUAAAUCUCUAAACAGAUGGGAGGAAAGGAAUUGAUGAAACAAUAAAUUUAUUGAUGAAACAAUAAAAAUAAACAUAAAGAACCAAAGAAAACUGAGCAAAAGAGUGGCUGAAGAAUAGGAAUGAUGAAGAGAAGAAGUAAAAACACCUGAGUCUUGUUCUGUUGUCCAGGCUGGAGUGCAAUGGCGUGAUCUUGGCUCACUGCAACCUCCCCGUCCCAGGUUCAAAUGAUUCUCGUGCCUCAGCCUCCCAGGUAGCUGGGAUUACAGGUAUGCACCACCAGGCCCGGUGAAUUUUUGUAUUUUUAGUAGAGACAGCGUUUUUGCCAUGUUGGCCAGGCUGGUCUCGAGCUCUUGACCUCAAGUGAUCCGCCUUCCUUGGCCUCCCAAAGUGCUGGGAUUACUGGCGUGAGCCACACCGUGCCCUGCCCCAGAUUCUGAGUAUAUUAAAA
rnacentral:lncRNA from 1 species